rnacentral:rRNA from 1 species
GACGAACCGUGCGAACGUUGUCCGGAAUCACUGGGCGUAAAGGGCGCGUAGGCGGUCUCUUAAGCGUGUGGUGAAAGCCCGGGGCUCAACUCCGGGUCGGCCGUGCGAACUGGGGGACUGGAGCUUGUCAGAGGCAGGCGGAAUUCCGGGUGUAGCGGUGGAAUGCGUAGAGAUCCGGAAGAACACCGGUGGCGAAGGCGGCCUGCUGGGACAGUGCUGACGCUGAGGCGCGACAGCGUGGGGAGCAAACAGG